rnacentral:rRNA from 1 species
AGAGUUUGAUCAUGGCUCAGAUUGAACGCUGGCGGCAUGCCUUACACAUGCAAGUCGAACGGCAGCGCGGGCUUCGGCCUGGCGGCGAGUGGCGAACGGGUGAGUAAUACAUCGGAACGUGCCCUGUUGUGGGGGAUAACUAGUCGAAAGAUUAGCUAAUACCGCAUACGACCUGAGGGUGAAAGCGGGGGACCGCAAGGCCUCGCGCAAUAGGAGCGGCCGAUGUCUGAUUAGCUAGUUGGUGGGGUAAAGGCCUACCAAGGCGACGAUCAGUAGCUGGUCUGAGAGGACGAUCAGCCACACUGGGACUGAGACACGGCCCAGACUCCUACGGGAGGCAGCAGUGGGGAAUUUUGGACAAUGGGGGCAACCCUGAUCCAGCAAUGCCGCGUGUGUGAAGAAGGCCUUCGGGUUGUAAAGCACUUUUGUCCGGAAAGAAAUCGCGCUGGCUAAUACCUGGCGUGGAUGACGGUACCGGAAGAAUAAGCACCGGCUAACUACGUGCCAGCAGCCGCGGUAAUACGUAGGGUGCGAGCGUUAAUCGGAAUUACUGGGCGUAAAGCGUGCGCAGGCGGUUUUGUAAGACAGGCGUGAAAUCCCCGAGCUCAACUUGGGAAUGGCGCUUGUGACUGCAAGGCUAGAGUAUGUCAGAGGGGGGUAGAAUUC